rnacentral:rRNA from 1 species
CCUACGGGUGGCAGCAGUGGGGAAUAUUGCACAAUGGGGGGAACCCUGAUGCAGCAACGCCGCGUGAGUGAAGAAGUAUCUCGGUAUGUAAAGCUCUAUCAGCAGGGAAGAAAAUGACGGUACCUGACUAAGAAGCACCGGCUAAAUACGUGCCAGCAGCCGCGGUAAUACGUAUGGUGCAAGCGUUAUCCGGAUUUACUGGGUGUAAAGGGAGCGCAGGCGGCGCGGCAAGUCGGAUGUGAAAGCCCGGGGCUCAACCCCGGGACUGCAUUUGAAACGGCCGGGCUAGAGUGUUGGAGAGGCAAGUGGAAGUCCUAGGGUAGCGGUGAAAUGCGUAGAUAUUAGGAGGAACACUAGUGGCGAAGGCGGCUUGAUGGACGAUCACUGACGCUGAGGCUCGAAAGCGUGGGGAGCAAACAGGAUUAGAUACCCUAGUAGUC